AGAGAGAUUUCUCAGAGAGAAUUGUCCCAAAUCACAGAAGAAAAGCAUCCUUUUCCAGAUGAUGGGGCCCUGGGAGGUUUUGAAGCAGAAAGUCCAAGCAGCAUGGGAAUGGCUCAUACAAAGGCAUGUAGCUGUAUUGGCCUCAUGGCCAUCUUGUCACGCUGGUAGGAAUUCACACAAGAAGGAUCACAAUAGCUAGAGGAGGACCAGUAAGCAGUCAGUGCUUACUAAGAGAUCUUGCCUCUGAAAUAUCCACUACCACACUGCUAUUAGCAUCUAAAUCUUUGGGAGAACAUUCACCCUAUUAUAUUCAGCUUACCAGUCAGAAGCAUCUUCUUAAUUGCUUUCUGUUUUGUGGGCCAAGUAACCGAAGUAAAAGUCAUUUCAACUUGCUGAAUGCCAACCAGCUUGUGUAUGUAGACACCAAUGAUUGGCCAGAUGGGAAACUGACAGAUGAUUUGGUAUGUUCUUGAGGCAAACUGAGAGAGGCAUGAGGCCAGGCCUUGAACAUGGAUGAAUGGUUGUCCAGGUAACUCCCAGGAGACACUAAUCAGGAAUGUGUUUUCCCUGACCCAGGGUUAUGCACCUUCUGCUCCCCACACCAAAACACUCUAUACCUCUAGAGGCCAACUUGGUAGGCCAUCCGCUAUCCAUUGAACUAAGAGAUUCUUUGCCCAAUGGCACUGCACUCUCUGAAGGUGCACUGCCUGUGAUAAAACUGGUUCCUACAUGGCCCCUGAACACACUGCACAUCUUCUGGACAAUGUGGUCAAGUCCGGAUGUGUCAGGAGCUCUGCACACUCUCAUAAGCAAGGCAGCUCAGGCAGGGUCUCAUGUGCUCUCCUUCCAGUCUUCUUCUGUCUGACAAGAAUUACUGCAGGAGAUUGAGCCAGAGGUCUUCUGCAAUGACCUGAAAGGAGGUGAGGCAAGUGUCUCUCUAGCUUCUGGGGUCAGAGUCCCUCGCCAGCCUAAGGGCCUUUAAGGACACAUGACAGUCCUUUUGGGAAUAAGACGACCAGAGCACACCACUUCAGCCAGCCUGUUAUCUCCUAGGAAAUUGUGGGCAAACAACCAGUCCAGGAAAGUUAGCCUCCAGGGUUCCUGCUGGUAAAUGGGAGCAGCAAGGCCAAGGGCUUGUCAGUUGAGAGUUGAGAGUGCUUGGCUGUGCAGAUUCCACAGUGCUUAACUGAAAACAGUCAGAAGUAUCUGACUUUUCUGAAACACUGCAUUAACUUGCCCCCUAGGUCCACUAUGUAGUGGCCAAAGGGCUCCACUGUCCAAAUCACAAGUUGAGAUAGUAUGGCCUCAGUCAGUUAGUUGUUCAGACGUGUUACAGUCUGACAGUGUGGAUUUUCUUACUGAUUUAGACACUGACAGCUCUGGGAAGAAACAUGCUGUGUCCUUUGGACCAUCAGAUGCUGUCAGCCUGGGACAACCAGAAGUAGUGAGAUGCAGGAUGUCAGAGGACCUUCAGACACUUUGUACUCUAGAUAGGGAAACAUGUGCGUUCUGUUGAGUAGAGCUCUGUGGGGUCAGGCUAGUUGAGUGCUGAGGGUCUGGACCCUUACUACAGUUCACUGUAAGUAGACCGAAAGUUUGAAAUUAUGUGCUCUGGACAGCUUAAAGCCAUAGUUUGCGGAGACAGAUACUGAAGGGUAUUGUGACAGGCUUACCCUUCCCCCCCCCCCCAUUCCCUCCGCUUUGCUAAAACUCAUUAGGUUACCUUUCCUAAAGCAAGCCAACAAGAUCUACUUCCUCAUACGGCCACUUCCUCCUCCUGAGACUGACUAGCAAGGUCCAGAUGUCAACCUACCAAACGAAGUCCAGCAAACAAAAGCCUACUUUGUCUGGCCUAAUUAAUUAAAUUGGGCAUUUGUCAUGCCCAAAUUGGAAUCAAACAUCCUGUAAAAAUGAAAAUUAAUAUAAAUGAAUGCAUUGAAUUAA